CCCAAGAGAUCGGGAUAACACCUGGAAACAGAUGCUAAUACCGGAUAACAACAGAUGAUGCCUAUCAACUGUUUAAAAGAUGGUUCUGCUAUCACUCUUGGAUGGAACUGCGGUGCAUUAGCUAGUUGGUAGGGUAACGGCCUACCAAGGCGAUGAUGCAUAGCCGAGUUGAGAGACUGAUCGGCCACAUUGGGACUGAGACACGGCCCAAACUCCUACGGGAGGCAGCAGAG
rnacentral:rRNA from 1 species